CGAAGACCAAGCGCCUGUGGCCCGCUAACCGCUCCACCCGUCGUCGACAGGGGCUUCGCUCAGCUUCCGGGCCCGUUAGGGCCUCUGUCCACUGUUCUCUGUAGAAGACACACAUGAGAAAAAAAGAGGUUAAACAAUUGUUGGAAACCUCCACAGAAUCAGACAGCAAGCCAACAGAACUGUCUCUAAAGAAUAUUAAGUAGUUUUGGAUUUAUGGCCACCAUCUUCUCUUACUAAAAAUGAGAAAACUAGAAGAUCACAGAUCGUUGGUCAAGUUUUCAUUCAGCUAUUGGUGAAGCUAGCUGUCAAACCCAAGUAGUCUGCUGGUAACAACAAUGCUAAAUACAUAGUCCCUAUUGAAAAAACAAAAGAACAAAAUAAUUGAUCAUUUCUUUGAGGUAAUACUUUUGUGUCCUAAUGAUUGUACAU